rnacentral:rRNA from 1 species
UACGGAGGGGGCUAGCGUUGUUCGGAAUUACUGGGCGUAAAGCGCACGUAGGCGGCUUGUAAGUUAGAGGUGAAAGCCCGGGGCUCAACUCCGGAAUUGCCUUUAAGACUGCAUCGCUAGAAUUGUGGAGAGGUAAGUGGAAUUCCGAGUGUAGAGGUGAAAUUCGUAGAUAUUCGGAAGAACACCAGUGGCGAAGGCGACUUACUGGACACAUAUUGACGCUGAGGUGGCGAAAGCGUUGGGGAGCAAACAGG